UCUGAGAAUUGGUGAAUUCAGUCGCAGUUUUCUUUGAGUGAGAACGGAUAUGACUGAAAUGUGAAAGACUGAAUUUUAGAUAGUUUAAUGCCCAUAGAGGUACCCCAAGCAAUGAUGUCAGGUAUUUUUCUUAGCUGAAUAUUUAAUGGCAUUCCUGAACAAUAUUGAUAUAGUUAAUGGACAUAGAUUUAGUGAAAGAAAAGUUAUGUUAUAUCAAUUAUGUGUUAUAUGAUACAAUUACUGUAGGUUAUUGAAAAGCAAUCUCUGUAAAGAAUUGCAUAUUUAACAAAGGACAAAUUGAUAUUUUUGUUUUCUUUACUUUGAACAGUAAAUACAAUUUGGUUUGUUUAUUCAGAGUACUUGUAUUUCACAUUUCAAUUGAAUCAUUAUGAAUGAUUGACAAAUACACUUUUAAUAUCCUGUAAUAUAUUGGUAUAUGUAUUGUGACAGAUGUCCAUCAUUGUAUCAAUUGCAUUUUCAGUUUCUCAAAAAUCUUAUACAAAAUCUUUAUCGCAAAUAUACUUUGUGAAAUAUUGUUUCAUUGUAAGUACUAUUGCAGUUUGCCAUUACUAGAAUCAAAAUACAUUGAAAUAAUACAUGUUGGUUUACCGUAAUUUCCAGUAAAGAUAGUCAUUUUUCGGCAUUUAAGAUUUUGAAAACAUAUUGCAUUUAAAAGACUUUGAAUUUGUGAAUCAUUCAUAGCAAUCCAGUCUAUUGUCUGGUUUCAACAGAAUUAAGGACUGGCAUUUACAAAUACCUUUAAAUGAUAGAGGAAAGUUGUGCUGAUAUUGACAAUGUGUAGAAUUUUAUCUACAUAAUAAAUGAGAGGUUUUAUCAG
rnacentral:misc_RNA from 1 species